GACGAACGCUGGCGGCGUGCUUAACACAUGCAAGUCGAACGGAAAGGCCCUGCUUUUGUGGGGUGCUCGAGUGGCGAACGGGUGAGUAACACGUGAGUAACCUGCCCUUGACUUUGGGAUAACUUCAGGAAACUGGGGCUAAUACCGGAUAGGAGCUCCUGCUGCAUGGUGGGGGUUGGAAAGUUUCGGCGGUUGGGGAUGGACUCGCGGCUUAUCAGCUUGUUGGUGGGGUAGUGGCUUACCAAGGCUUUGACGGGUAGCCGGCCUGAGAGGGUGACCGGCCACAUUGGGACUGAGAUACGGCCCAGACUCCUACGGGAGGCAGCAGUGUGGAAUAUUGCACAAUGGGCGGAAGCCUGAUGCAGCAACGCCGCGUGCGGGAUGACGGCCUUCGGGUUGUAUACCGCUUUCGCCUAUGACGAAGCGUGAGUGACGGUAAUGGGUAAAGAAGCACCGGCUAACUACGUG
rnacentral:rRNA from 1 species